rnacentral:rRNA from 1 species
UUACGGCCAUAUCACGUUGAAACACCGGUUCUCCUACAAUCACCAAAGUUAAGCAACGUCGAACCUGGUCAGUACCUAGAUGGGUGACCGCUUGGGAAUACCAGGU